AUAGCCCCGAUAGAAGCGGCAUCCUUUUUCUGCGGCGGCUUGUAAAAGGUGCGGGCGAAAAAGAUACAGCGGAUAGCGGGAUUAAG
rnacentral:sRNA from 1 species